rnacentral:rRNA from 1 species
UACGGAGGAUCCGAGCGUUAUCCGGAUUUAUUGGGUUUAAAGGGUGCUCAGGCGGGCCAUUAAGUCGGCGGUGAAAUUUUGCGGCUCAACCGUAAAAGUGCCAUUGAUACUGGUUUUCUUGAGUGUGGAUGAAGUAGGCGGAAUUUGUGGUGUAGCGGUGAAAUGCAUAGAUAUCACGAGGAACUCCGAUUGCGCAGGCAGCUUACUAAACCAUAACUGACGCUCAGGCACGAAGGCGAGGGGAUCAAACAGGAUUAGAUACCCGCGUA